CUGAAAAAUGAAGCAGUCAAGGAGGUACAGGACUGGCAACAGAAGCAUGGCUUCAUGCACUGUUUUAUCACUGUGCCUCAACCUUGAUCUGGAAAGACGAGUUCUAGGGGCAAGAGAAUAGUCAGGCCAUGGCUUCU
rnacentral:sRNA from 1 species